GAAGGACUGUUUCAGAGGACCAUGGGAAAGGUCUAUGCCAGAAACAGCAAGAAGUCCGCUCACCAAGAAGAGGACCCUCACCAGACACUGGAUUUACUGGCAUCUUGAUCUUGGAUUUUCUAGCCUCUAUAACUGUGAG
rnacentral:lncRNA from 1 species